GAUGAACGCUGGCGGCGUGCCUAAUACAUGCAAGUCGAGCGAACAGAUGAGGAGCUUGCUCCUCUGACGUUAGCGGCGGACGGGUGAGUAACACGUGGAUAACCUACCUAUAAGACUGGGAUAACUUCGGGAAACCGGAGCUAAUACCGGAUAAUAUAUUGAACCGCAUGGUUCAAUAGUGAAAGACGGUUUUGCUGUCACUUAUAGAUGGAUCCGCGCCGCAUUAGCUAGUUGGUAAGGUAACGGCUUACCAAGGCAACGAUGCGUAGCCGACCUGAGAGGGUGAUCGGCCACACUGGAACUGAGACACGGUCCAGACUCCUACGGGAGGCAGCAGUAGGGAAUCUUCCGCAAAGGGCGAAAGCCUGACGGAGCAACGCCGCGUGAGUGAUGAAGGUCUUCUGAUCGUAAAACUCUGUUAUUAGGGAAGAACAAAUGUGUAAGUAACUAUGCACGUCUUGACGGUACCUAAUCAGAAAGCCACGGCUAACUACGUG
rnacentral:rRNA from 1 species